rnacentral:rRNA from 1 species
AACGAACGCUGGCGGCAGGCUUAACACAUGCAAGUCGAGCGCCCCGCAAGGGGAGCGGCAGACGGGUGAGUAACGCGUGGGAACAUACCCUUUCCUGCGGAAUAGCUCCGGGAAACUGGAAUUAAUACCGCAUACGCCCUACGGGGGAAAGAUUUAUCGGGGAAGGAUUGGCCCGCGUUGGAUUAGCUAGUUGGUGGGGUAAAGGCUUACCAAGGCGACGAUCCAUAGCUGGUCUGAGAGGAUGAUCAGCCACAUUGGGACUGAGACACGGCCCAAACUCCUACGGGAGGCAGCAGUGGGGAAAAUUGGACAAUGGGCGCAAGCCUGAUCCAGCCAUGCCGCGUGAGUGAUGAAGGCCUUAGGGUUGUAAAGCUCUUUCACCGGAGAAGAUAAUGACGGUACCCGGAGAAGAAGCCCCGGCUAACUUCGUGCCAGCCGCCGCGGUAA